rnacentral:rRNA from 1 species
CAGUAGCACGGAAAAACGUAGGUGGCAAGCGUUGUCCGGAAUUAUUGGGCGUAAAGGGCUCGCAGGCGGUUUCUUAAGUCUGAUGUGAAAGCCCCCGGCUCAACCGGGGAGGGUCAUUGGAAACUGGGAAACUUGAGUGCAGAAGAGGAGAGUGGAAUUCCACGUGUAGCGGUGAAAUGCGUAGAGAUGUGGAGGAACACCAGUGGCGAAGGCGACUCUCUGGUCUGUAACUGACGCUGAGGAGCGAAAGCGUGGGGAGCGAACAGGAUUAGAUACCCCCGUAGUCCCUGUCUCUUAUACA